UACGGGGGGGCUAGCGGUUGUUCGGAAUUACUGGGCGUAAAGGGCGCGUAGGCGGUCUGCUAAGUUGGAUGUGAAACUCUGGGCUUAACCCAGAGCCUGCAUUCAAUACUGACAGGCUAGAGUUCUGGAGGGGAUAGCGGAAUUCCUGGUGUAGCGGUGAAAUGCGUAGAUAUCAGGAGGAACACCGGUGGCGAAGGCGGCUAUCUGGACAGAGUCUGACGCUGAGGCGCGAAAGCUAGGGGAGCAAACAGG
rnacentral:rRNA from 1 species